rnacentral:rRNA from 1 species
AGUGAACGCUGGCGGUAGGCCUAACACAUGCAAGUCGAACGGCAGCACAGUAAGAGCUUGCUCUUACGGGUGGCGAGUGGCGGACGGGUGAGGAAUACAUCGGAAUCUACCUUUUCGUGGGGGAUAACGUAGGGAAACUUACGCUAAUACCGCAUACGACCUACGGGUGAAAGCAGGGGAUCUUCGGACCUUGCGCGAUUGAAUGAGCCGAUGUCGGAUUAGCUAGUUGGCGGGGUAAAGGCCCACCAAGGCGACGAUCCGUAGCUGGUCUGAGAGGAUGAUCAGCCACACUGGAACUGAGACACGAUCCAGACUCCUACGGGAGGCAGCAGUGGGGAAUAUUGGACAAUGGGCGCAAGCCUGAUCCAGCCAUACCGCGUGGGUGAAGAAGGCCUUCGGGUUGUAAAGCCCUUUUGUUGGGAAAGAAAAGCAGCAGGUUAAUACCCCGCUGUUCUGACGGUACCCAAAGAAUAAGCACCGGCUAACUUCGUG